rnacentral:lncRNA from 1 species
GAAAGGAUGUGCGGGUAGAAAUGAGCAAUUGCAACUAGAAGAGCCUGUGUGCCCACAAUCAGGGGUGAGGAGGAGUGUCAUGGAGCAGCUCUCUACUGCCCUGAGAAUGACAUCCCCACUGUUCACCAUGGCCUUAAAUCCCCUGCGAAUUCCACCUCAUCCUCUGCCACUUCCCGUCACUGCUCUGAAGAUGCCCUGAUCUUGUUUCAGUCCCUUGGAAGUACCCAGCUCUUCUCCAUCUUUGCAUGUGUCAUAGCCU